UUUCGUCUGCUAUUUGCCUUUCUUUUACAUAAAUCAACCUUAACAGGUCUCUCACUCCAUUAAUGCAAUAGUAUCCAAAGGAAGUUCAGUGCCGUUGAAUGGAGAAUAAUGUGAUGCCAAGUUGAUCAAGCAGCGAGAAACUCUUGGAUGUUAUUCCCUGCAGUUCUGCCUCCCAGCACUCCCAGUAUGAAGUUCAUAACAAACUGCCAACAGCAGAUAGAGCAUCUGAGUAUGAGCUGCAGUCAGUUGGUGGGGAAGGUAUGAACAAGUUAGCUGUUGCAAUCAGUUUGUGGUGUUGCUGUUAUCCUUGAAUGUUGGUUGUUCUGCCCAAUAUUUCUUAGCAUCCCAUGCAGAACCAGAAACAAUUGACAAAAAGUAAUUAUGUUGAUCAAUUUCUCUUUAAGAAAGAUAAGCUAUUGAUUAAGUAAUGGAAGACAGAUACAUAGUAGAUCCUUUACUUCAGUAACGUAACCUUCAGUGAAGUCUGUGGAGUGUGGACAUGUGGUUUUAAAUGACUUGAUUUUCAUUGUUUGCAUUUUUUUUUUCAAUUUGUAAAAUCUUAUUUACUGUUGACUCUUUGUACAAUUCUUAUAUCAAAAUAAGGGACUGAUUAAUUCGACGUUACUCCUAUCAAUGUGAUGCAACAUUAUAAAUCUGUUCCUCAAUGUAAUUUCAGUUUGUAAAAUAGGUUUUACAGCAGGUGAAAUCUCUUCUUCAUUGCUGACUAACAAAACACAUGGUAUUUGGUUGUGGCCAGCUGGUGAAAUCUGGCCCUUGCUUGUUGUUGGAACUUUGGAUUUUGACCCGGGGACAAUGAAGAUAGCUGGAAACUUUAGAGGUAAUAAGCCACGAGCACGAGAGGAACGAAAAAGAUGCUGCUAGUACGGCCACUCCAUCUUUCUCGUUUCCUUCCUUUUCUCCGAUCUCCCCUUUUCUUCGAACGUGAGAAGUUGUAACAUCUCUGAUAAGUCAACAAUCAUCGUUAAGCUAGCUUCGAAAAUUACCAAUGAUUCAUAGUCAAGUCAGAGUAAACUUGAAAGUCGUGCAACCUACUGUCAACUAUUUUUUUCAAACUCAUUGUAUUCUACUGUGUCAUCGAAAUGAUACAGGAUUAAUCUUAAUUAUCGGCUGUUUCUAUUGAACUUGCUAGAUCACUGACCCCAGCAUGGAACAAUCUCUCAUUCCAUCUUAUCUUGGAUAACUGAUUGGUGAUUUCAUGUGUAUAAAAGUUCCCUUGUUUACUGAACUUUAUUAAUUGCAGUCUAAUAUGAAUUUUUGUUUUAUUUACAGGUUUCUAAAUU